GAUGAAGAACGUAGUGAAAUGCGAUAAGUAAUGUGAAUUGCAGAAUUCAGUGAAUCAUCGAAUCUUUGAACGCACAUUGCGCCCGCCAGUAUUCUGGCGGGCAUGCCUGUUCGAGCGUCAUUUCAACCAUCAAGCCCCGGGCUUGUGUUGGGGACCUGCGGCUGCCGCAGGCCCUGAAAUGCAGUGGCGGGCUCGCUGUCACUCCGAGCGUAGUAGUUACAUCUCGCUCUGGGCGUGCUGCGGGUUCCGGCCGUUAAAAGCCUUAUUUACCCAAGGUUGACCUCGGAUCAGGUAGGAAGACCCGCUGAACUUAAGCAUAUCAAUAAUCGGAGGA
rnacentral:misc_RNA from 1 species